UACGUAGGGUGCGAGCGUUAAUCGGAAUUAUUGGGCGUAAAGCGCGCGCAGGCGGUUUCUUAAGUCUGAUGUGAAAGCCCCCGGCUCAACCGGGGAGGGUCAUUGGAAACUGGGAAACUUGAGUGCAGAAGAGGAAAGUGGAAUUCCAAGUGUAGCGGUGAAAUGCGUAGAGAUUUGGAGGAACACCAGUGGCGAAGGCGACUUUCUGGUCUGUAACUGACGCUGAGGCGCGAAAGCGUGGGGAGCAAACAGG
rnacentral:rRNA from 1 species